UGGCGGCCAGGAUGGGCCCACAGAGGUUCCAGUUGAGGAGGCGGUCCAAGCGAUACCAGCCGUAGAUGUAGUGGGAGUUCUCGCCGUAGCCCUUGGCGUCUCCGAAGAGGUCCGCAACGGCCCAGGGGGG
rnacentral:SRP_RNA from 14 species